CCAAGCUACUUCUGUUCUCUUUCCAUUCCACUCUCACUCUUCUCUUAAGCUCAGAAACACUUGAAACUGCUUGGUUCACUUUCAUCAAAGGUCGAAAAUCAGUAGCUACUUUAUCUCCAAGUCUUGCUUCUCAUCAUGUUAGGAGAACAAAUGGAAGACUUUGAGAUUUCAAACCACUGAGCUUCUCUCAAUUUUGCUUCAAUACCAGAAAUUUUAUUUCCUUUCGGAUCAAGGACUCAAGUGAAUUGAAGAGUGGUUCUGUGGUACUUGCUGGGAGUUACACAUCAAGGAUUCCAGGUAAUGUGCACGAAGUUGAAAGGGAGCAGAACUGAAGUGGUGGCUUUGGCAUUUUGCUGCUUGUCAACUCCUGCCUUUUGAGGUGAUCAAGAUGGAGGUUGACUAUCUCUGAAAUUUGAAAUGGGAAAUCCCAUUGUUCAUACAUACUUGAGAAAAUUCAUUGAUCUUGCUCAAGAGAGUUACUAAAAAACUCCUAAUAUGCAGUUUGAGGCUUUGAUUUACUACCUCAUCACAGAUCUAAGUGAAUUACAUAUGGUUUUAGUUUUGGCUACUCUUUUGAUUUUUCUAUGUUUUCGCUUUUGCUCUAUUCCUCCCUAUAACACUACGUUACUCAUCAUUAAUUCAAGGUAAACCCAUUCCUCACAAUCUACACUUGACUAGAAAUUUUACACUCCUCAUAAUCAUUUUAUCUGCAGGCUCACUGGCCAUUCCCUUCAAAUCAUAUUAUGGAGGGUUAUGUAUAUAUGCUCACGCACCCCUGAAUACCUUCCAUUUUCUAUGACCACUUCUAUGAUUCGGGUGAUUUCAUUCAUGAUCAGAUCGUGAAACUGGUACAGCAGUAUAGCUAGCUAGUUCCUUUAUUGACUUGUGUCUAGUAGAAGCUCUUCCUUCAUUAAGCAUUUGGACUUCCAGAUUA